rnacentral:snRNA from 1 species
GAAUGAUACAGAAAAGCUUAGCAUGGCCCCCGUGCAAGGAUGACGCACAAAUUUGUGAAGCGUUCCAUAUACAU